UGGGAGAUAGCUCAGCGGUAGAGUGCUUGUCUAGAAGGCAUACGGUCCUGGGUUCAAUAUCCAGUAUUGCAA
rnacentral:tRNA from 1 species